CUCCGCAACAGUCACUCUUGUGUUAGCAAUACUGUCUCUAAGCUUGCCAUCUCAAAUCUCAGCUGAUACCUACUUGUACUCAUCACCUCCUCCUCCCAAGAAGCCCUAUUAUUAUCACUCUCCUCCACCACCUUCACCUCCUCCACCUAAGCCAUACUACUAUCAUUCACCACCACCACCUUCACCUCCUCCACCCAAGCCAUACUACUAUCACUCACCACCACCACCUUCACCUCCUCCACCUAAACCAUACUACUAUCACUCACCACCACCACCUUCACCUCCUCCACCUAAACCAUACUACUAUCACUCACCACCACCACCUUCACCUCCUCCACCUAAACCAUACUACUAUCACUCACCACCACCACCUUCACCUCCUCCACCUAAGUCAUAUUACUAUCACUCACCACCACCACCACCCAAAAAGAAGCCAUACUACUACCAUUCUCCCCCACCACCUUCACCACCUCCUCCUAAGCCAUACUACUAUCACUCUCCCCCACCGCCUUCACCUCCUCCACCUACGCCAUACUACUAUCAUUCUCCCCCACCACCCUCACCACCUCCACCUAAGCCAUACUACUACCAUUCACCACCACCCCCACCGAAGAAGAAGCCUUACUACUACCACUCUCCACCACCACCUUCACCUCCUCCUCCAAAGAAGCCAUACUACUACCACUCCCCACCUCCUCCCAAGAAGCCCUACAAAUAUUCAUCUCCCCCACCUCCAGUGCACCCUUACCCUCAUCCUCACCCCCAUCCCCAUCCACACCCCCACCCUCACCCUCCCUACGUUUACAAAUCUCCUCCCCCACCCCCUAAGAAGCCAUACAAGUACCCAUCCCCACCACCUCCAGUCCACGUUUACCCUCACCCUCACCCGCAUCCACACCCUCACCCUCAACCUCACCCCCAUCCACAAC
rnacentral:lncRNA from 1 species